CCUACGGGAGGCAGCAGUGAGGAAUAUUGGUCAAUGGGCUUACGCCUGAACCAGCCAAGUCGCGUGAGGGAAGACUGCCCUAUGGGUUGUAAACCUCUUUUGUCAGGGAGCAACGCCGGCUACGUGUAGCCUGACUGAGAGUACCUGCAGAAAAAGCAUCGGCUAACUCCGUGCCAGCAGCCGCGGUAAUACGGAGGAUGCGAGCGUUCUCUGGAUUUAUUGGGUUUAAAGGGUGCGUAGGCGGAAUGCCAAGUCAGCGGUAAAAUCGCGGGGCUCAACCUCGCUCCGCCGUUGAUACUGGCGUUCUUGAGUGAGCGAGAAGUAUGCGGAAUGCGUGGUGUAGCGGUGAAAUGCAUAGAUAUCACGCAGAACUCCGAUUGCGAAGGCAGCAUACCGGCGCCCAACUGACGCUGAAGCACGAAAGCGUGGGUAUCGAACAGGAUUAGAUACCAUUGUAGUC
rnacentral:rRNA from 1 species